rnacentral:piRNA from 1 species
CACCCUUGCGGAGGUGGCUGGUUGCUA